rnacentral:rRNA from 1 species
CACGCCCUAAACGAUGUCGACUGGUUGUUGGGGGUUUGACACUCUCAGUAACGAAGCUAACGCGUGAAGUCGACCGCCUGGGGAGUACGGCCGCAAGGUUAAAACUCAAAGGAAUUGACGGGGACCCGCACAAGCGGUGGAUUAUGUGGAUUAAUUCGAUGCAACGCGAAAAACCUUACCUACCCUUGACAUGUCCUGGAGCCCGGAGAGAUCCGGGUGUGCCCGAAAGGGAACGGGAACACAGGUGCUGCAUGGCUGUCGUCAGCUCGUGUCGUGAGAUGUUGGGUUAAGUCCCGCAACGAGCGCAACCCUUGUCAUUAGUUGCUACCGCAAGGAGCACUCUAAUGAGACUGCCGGUGACAAACCG